rnacentral:rRNA from 1 species
GCCAGACUCCUACGGGAGGCAGCAGUCGGGAAUAUUGCGCAAUGGAGGAAACUCUGACGCAGUGACGCCGCGUGCAGGAAGAAGGUUUUCGGAUUGUAAACUUCUUUAGACAGGGAAGAAACAAGACAGUACCUGUAGAAUAAGCUCCGGCUAACUACGUGCCAGCAGCCGCGGUAAUACGUAGGGAGCAAGCGUUAUCCGGAUUUAUUGGGUGUAAAGGGUGCGUAGACGGGAAAACAAGUUAGUUGUGAAAUCCCGCGGCUUAACUGAGGAACUGCAACUAAAACUAUUUUUCUUGAGUGUUGGAGAGGAAAGUGGAAUUCCUAGUGUAGCGGUGAAAUGCGUAGAUAUUAGGAGGAACACCAGUGGCGAAGGCGACUUUCUGGACAAUAACUGACGUUGAGGCACGAAAGUGUGGGGAGCAAACAGGAUUAGAUACCCCCGUA